UUAAUACCUCAUGGUAUAUAUCAUUCGCAUGUUUGAUAUAUUAAAGUUCCAACGGUAAAAGAUGGGCAUGCGUCCUAUUAGCUAGAUGGUAAGGUAACGGCUUACCAUGGCAACGAUAGGUAGGGGUCCUGAGAGGGAGAUCCCCCACACUGGUACUGAGACACGGACCAGACUCCUACGGGAGGCAGCAGUGAGGAAUAUUGGACAAUGGGCGCAAGCCUGAUCCAGCCAUGCCGCGUGCAGGAAGAAGCAUCUAUGGUGUGUAAACUGCUUUUGUACGGGAAGAAACACUCCUUCGUGAAGGAGCUUGACGGUACCGUAAGAAUAAGGAUCGGCUAACUCCGUGCCAGCAGCCGCGGUAAUACGGAGGAUCCAAGCGUUAUCCGGAAUCAUUGGGUUUAAAGGGUCCGUAGGCGGUUUGGUAAGUCAGUGGUGAAAGCCCGCAGCUCAACUGUGGAACGGCCAUUGAUACUGCCAGACUUGAAUUACAAGGAAGUAACUAGAAUAUGUAGUGUAGCGGUGAAAUGCUUAGAUAUUACAUGGAAUACCAAUUGCGAAGGCAGGUUACUACUUGUGGAUUGACGCUGAUGGACGAAAGCGUGGGGAGCGAACAGGAUUAGAUACCCUGGUAGUCCACACCGUAAACGAUGGAUACUAGCUGUUGGGGGCAACUUCAGUGGCUAAGCGAAAGUGAUAAGUAUCCCACCUGGGGAGUACGUUCGCAAGAAUGAAACUCAAAGGAAUUGACGGGGGCCCGCACAAGCGGUGGAGCAUGUGGUUUAAU
rnacentral:rRNA from 1 species